rnacentral:rRNA from 1 species
UACAGAGGUCCCGAGCGUUGUUCGGAUUCAUUGGGCGUAAAGGGUGUGUAGGUGGCGCCGUAAGUCGGGUGUGAAAUUUCGGAGCUUAACUCCGAAACUGCAUUCGAUACUGCGGUGCUUGAGGACUGGAGAGGAGACUGGAAUUCAUGGUGUAGCAGUGAAAUGCGUAGAGAUCAUGAGGAAGACCAGUGGCGAAGGCGGGUCUCUGGACAGUUCCUGACACUGAGACACGAAGGCCAGGGGAGCGAACGGG